UCCCUUUUGUUUAGAUAAUGGUCUUGUAGGCUACUACUGUAGAAUAGAUUGGAGUACAAAUUACAGUGAUUUAAAAAUGCUUCCACAGAAAAGGCCUGAUUUAACAGAGUUUUCUCCACCAUUUGAAAUGUAGUUACGUACAUCCCUCUUUUUAGACAUGUCGGCCUGAUCACUGGUAACCAUAACAAGGCCAACCUGAAAUAAGUAGAUGACCUGCCCCGCUGGUGUCAGGACAACAAUAUUAUCUUGACCAUUAGCAAGAUUAAGAAGAUGAUAGUGGACUUUGGGAAGAAGUUGGGAAAGAACUAUGUCUCCCAUAAUAUCAGAGGGCCUGACCUGGGCAGUACAUACUAAAGGCCUUUGCACACUAAGUCCGUUUUUUUCGUCCGAAAUUGUUGCUCGUCUAAAAACACAUAAAACAUCACGUUGUGUCAGUCAUGUUUGCAGACUGAGUCCCAAACUUCCGCCUGUUUGGAACAGGUUCGAUUUACUGCGUUUUAGUUUUUCGCAUCCGUCAGAAGCCUUUCGAGACAUUUGACCAAGAAUCAGUGAAUAAAACUUGGUGGUGGGACUCAGCCGUGACAAGACAGAGGAAGGGGCCGCACAGAAUCAUUUCAUAACUCAGACAGCUACUUUCAGUAGGUCAGAUAGUAAUAUUCAGGUGGAUGAUGACAAAGAGGAGGAUGUGGACCGCACACAGAAUGUGGAGACAGAUAAGAAGGACAGCUCCGCCCCUUCAUGCAGCUGCGGUGCCAAAUGAAAGAUGGGGAGGGUGCCAGAUCGGUAACUCCUGUGGAGAGAGGCAAAGGAGGGAAUGUGUCUUUUAAUUUUGUCACGUAUUGCGAUUUUCAUACCGAAUAGAACAAUAAAACGCAUGGGACUCAGUGUGCAAGGAUGCUUGAGAUAAUUCUAGGUGUCCCCUCAUAUACUGAGGAAUUUCUACUCCUGCACCACUGAGAUUGUCUUAACAGGAAACAUCACUGCUUGGUACAGAAAUGGUACCAAGGACCACAAGGCCCUGCAAAAAGUGGUACAUUAUGAUUUGGCUGAACACACUAUAGAUGUGGCUUUACCACUUUACUUGAUCUUUACAACAGGUGCUGCAAAGAUAAGGCCAGGAGGAUCAUUAAAGAUCCCUGUCACCCUGAUUACAGCCUUUUCUCCCUGCUAAGGUUGAGAAGAAGAUGGUCUCUGAUGUAAAACGUAUCAACACUAACAUGGGGGCAUAUUUGCCUUGCUCAGUUCAUGACUCCAGAAUCCCUUGGGCCUCUUCUUUCUCCCUGCAACUGUCACAAGGUGAAUUCUCAGGGGUCUUGCUUGAAGACUAGGAACAUGCCUCCCUGUUUGUGUUAUCUCAUGACUCCCCAACAGACGCCCCGGACAGUGCAACUGCAACCUUGUUCACGCACUCACAAGGGAGUGACUCCACAAAGGGCAUGUGACAUGACCGUUACAUGUGUUCUUCUUCUUACCAUCGCUUGCCUGAGGAGCGACAGGCCAGUUGAAGGAUUGUUGUAGAGGAGGACUGGGGCAAUGAGGCUAUCUCUAAUGACAAUAAAAUAGACGGAGUUAUAAGAAACAUAUGUGCGAAUAAUUAUUUUUUACAUUCCAAUCCUUAUGUUAAGGCUUUACUUAAUCUGUUUUAUGUAGCUUUCAUUUUUUUCUUUUCACUUUUAUCUCAAUUUCAUUUAAUGAAAACAAGACACAUAUUAUUUAAUUUUAUUCAUAUUUCAAGUGGAAGUUGCCUGUUGGAGGAUAAGGCAUAUGAUUAAAUGGAUUCACAAAAAAAAGGUUACGUGUCAUUUUCUUGAAUAUGGCACCAGUUGUUGGAUUUCCAGUUCCACCUUUCACAUCUUAAGCUUUUUGUGUUGAAUGUCUACAACCACUGCCUCCAUUUGUUUCAGGGGACAGUACUUGUAAACACUUUAAUGUCUUCUGCAUUUUGUAGGAACAGAAAAUGUGUUAUUUGGAAUGCUCUUGUCAUUGUAUUGUUUUUAUUACUGAGUGGACAGUUCCCCAAAAAUACAUAUUUUUCCUCUGACCUGUAGCGCUACAUAACAACCUAGAUUGUGUUGGUGUGAGUUAUUGAGUGUUGGAGAUUCUGAUUGUGGAGAUGUCUGCCCAUUCGUCAAUAUAAUGGAACUAGAUGUCAUUUGGCUGUAAAGUGCCUGAAAAGAAGAGAGAAAAACACAUUUAAAAAAUCUCUCUCUCCAGAAAUCGUGACACAGGUACUCCAGAUAAUCCAGAGACCUUGUUGUGAGCAGUUUAGGAGCAGUUUCCUUUUGACUGAACUACACCUGCCAACUGUAUCACCACACAGAAGGAAGCAUGUAGCAUAGAACGUUUUCAGUUUAUGCUUCGACGAAAAGUUUCAGUCGUCUUUGAGACCCUCUGCAUUUUUUUAUGCUACAAGUCUAUUUCUGUUGCAUUUAUUGAAGCAUAAUCUGCACAAACAGCUGUUUACAAUCACACCAGUAUCCUGCUGUAUAUGUGUUUUUGAUAUAUUAACCAUAUUUGCAUUGAUUGAUCAGCUCCAUGUCUGUGAGCAGCAGAUGACUGGAAAUAAACGCA